rnacentral:rRNA from 1 species
UGGGGGGGGUACGUGGUGUGAGAGCGAGCCCGCUCGCCGAUACGGGGUCGAGUGACUGGGCGUAAAGCGUGCGCAGGCGGAUUGUAAGCAGACGUGAAAGCCCCGGGCUUAACCUGGGAAUGGCGUUUUGAACUGGCAGUCUAGAGUGUGUCAGAGGGGGGUGGAAUUCCACGUGUAGCAGUGAAAUGCGUAGAGAUGUGGAGGAACACCAAUGGCGAAGGCAGCCCCCUGGGAUAACACUGACGCUCAUGUACGAAAGCGUGGGUAGCAAACAGGAUUAGAUACCCUAGUGAAAUCCCUUAGUAACGAAGCUAACGCGUGAAGUUGACCGCCUGGGGAGUACGGUCGCAAGAUUAAAACUCAAAGGAAUUGACGGGGACCCGCACAAGCGGUGGAUGAUGUGGAUUAAUUCGAUGCAACGCGAAAAACCUUACCUACCCUUGACAUGUCCAGGAUCCUGCAGAGAUGCGGGAGUGCCCGAAAGGGAAUUGGAACACAGGUGCUGCAUGGCUGUCGUCAGCUCGUGUCGUGAGAUGUUGGGUUAAGUCCCGCAACGAGCGCAACCCUUAUCAUUAGUUGCUACGCAAGGGCACUCUAAUGAGACUGCCGGUGACAAACCGGAGGAAGGUGGGGAUGACGUCAAGUCCUCAUGGCCCUUAUGGGUAGGGCUUCACACGUCAUACAAUGGUCGGUACAGAGGGUUGCCAAGCCGCGAGGUGGAGCCAAUCCCAGAAAGCCGAUCGUAGUCCGGAUUGUUCUCUGCAACUCGAGAGCAUGAAGUCGGAAUCGCUAGUAAUCGCGGAUCAGCAUGUCGCGGUGAAUACGUUCCCGGGUCCUGUACACACCGCCCGUCACACCAUGGGAGUGGAAUCUGGCAGAAGUAGGUAGCCUAACCGCAAGGAGGGCGCUUACCACGCUGGGUUUCAUGACUGGGGUGAAGUCGUAACAAGGUAGCCGUAGGGGAACCUGCGGCUGGAUCACCUCCUU